rnacentral:misc_RNA from 1 species
UCCCGUCAUUGCCUUGUGCGCUCCUUCGCGCUAUGCCGUAAUGUCGUGACAGAAGCAACUCUGGGGCGUCACUUGAUGUGUAGCGAGGGAAGACAGCUGUGACACGUGCCCACGAUGUGCUGAAGGAGAGGAAGGGGUGGUGGUGGUGGUGUAGCAACGGUGACGUUUACGCUGCCGAACACGCACAGAGGGAGAGGCACGUGCUGGUGGGACCUAUUCUUCACAGAUUGUGCACCCGCAUCUGCCCUUGCCCAUUUUCACUCGUUACUGUUUGUUCCUGCUGCGCUCUUCCACAUUCGUGCAAUCCCCCUUUUGAUACCCUCCUGCACACAUUGCUCACGUCCCUCGGCCACUGCAGCGUCACUGCUUCUCAGCUUCCGUCGUCGGCUACCGCUCAUGCUGCUAAUCGCGGGGGUUAGCUCGCAUUCCGGCCACCCCUUCUUCUGAUCGUUGUUCUCGCGCCUUUCGGCGGUUGCGUCUGCCCCAUUACGGCGUCGUCGCGCCAGCUGCUUAUCGACCGUGCGGGGUGCGGCAGUCGGCUGUGCUGUGUACACAUUCAUGCACAAAAGGGUGGGGCUGACUUCUUUUAAUCGCCAUUCCUCAGUCGCCACGACUGACUUCCUGAUACUCGCCGUAUGCUUCUCGCUUCUGUUGCGUGCCUCUCACUCUCCCUCUUUCACCAUCUCAG